rnacentral:rRNA from 1 species
CCUACGGGAGGCAGCAGUAGGGAAUAUUGCUCAAUGGGGGAAACCCUGAAGCAGCAACGCCGCGUGGAGGAUGAAGGUUUUCGGAUUGUAAACUCCUUUUGUUAGAGACGAUAAUGACGGUAUCUAACGAAUAAGCACCGCCUAACUCCGUGCCACCAGCCGCGGUCAUACGGAGGGUGCAAGCAUUACUCGGAAUCACUGGGCGUAAAGAGCGCGUAGGCGGGAUAGCAAGUCAGAUGUGAAAUCCUAUGGCUUAACCAUAGAACUGCAUUUGAAACUGUUAUUCUAGAGUAUGGGAGAGGGAGGUGGAAUUCUUGGGGUAGGGGGAAAAUCCGUAGAGAUCAAGAGGAAUACUCAUUGCGAAGGCGACCUGCUAGAACAUAACUGACGCUGAUGCGCGAAAGCGUGGGGAGCAAACAGGAUUAGAUACCCGAGUAGUC